rnacentral:rRNA from 1 species
UUCGGUUGAUCCUGCCGGAGGUCACUGCUAUUGGGAUUCGACUAAGCCAUGCGAGUCGAGAGGGUUCGGCCCUCGGCUGACGGCUCAGUAACACGUGGAUAAUCUGCCCUUAGGUGGAGGAUAAUCUCGGGAAACUGAGGAUAAUACUCCAUAGAUCUAGAAUGCUGGAAUGCAUCUAGAUUGAAAGCUCCGGCGCCUAAGGAUGAGUCUGCGGACUAUCAGGUUGUAGUCAGGGUAAAGACCUGACUAGCCUACGACGGAUACGGGUUGUGAGAGCAAUAACCCGGAGACGAUAUCUGAGACACGAUAUCGGGCCCUACGGGGCGCAGCAGGCGCGAAAACUUCACACUGUGCGAAAGCGCGAUGAGGGAAUCCCAAGUGUUUGCUCGUAAGAGUAAACUGUUUCUUUGUUUAAAACGCAGAGAGAGUAAGGGCUGGGUAAGACGGGUGCCAGCCGCCGCGGUAAUACCUGCAGCUCAAGUGGUGAUCAUUAUUAUUGGGCCUAAAACGUCCGUAGCCGGUUUAGUAAAUGCCUGGGUAAAUCGUGUAGCUUAACUAUACGACUUCCGGGUAGACUGCUAAACUUGAGACCGGGUGAGGCUAGAGGUACUCCUGGGGUAGAGGUGAAAUUCUGUAAUCCUAGGGGGACCACCAGUGGCGAAGGCGUCUAGCUAGAACGGGUCUGACGGUGAGGGACGAAGCCCUGGGGCACAAACCGGAUUAGAUACCCGGGUAGUCCAGGGUGUAAACGCUGCUUGCUUGAUGUUAGUUGGGCUCCGAGCCCAAUUAGUGUCGGAGAGAAGUUGUUAAGCAAGCUGCCUGGGAAGUACGGUCGCAAGGCUGAAACUUAAAGGAAUUGGCGGGGGAGCGCAGCAACGGGUGGAGCGUGCGGUUUAAUUGGAUUCAACGCCGGA